GAGUGAUCGAAAGAUGAAAAGCACUUUGGAAAGAGAGUUAAAAAGCACGUGAAAUUGUUGAAAGGGAAGCGCUUGCAGCCAGACUUGCCUGUAGUUGCUCAUCCGGGUUUCUACCCGGUGCACUCUUCUACGGGCAGGCCAGCAUCAGUUUGGGCGGUUGGAUAAAGGUCUCUGUCAUGUACCUCUCUUCGGGGAGAACUUAUAGGGGAGACGACAUGCAACCAGCCUGGACUGAGGUCCGCGCAUCUGCUAGGAUGCUGGCGUAAUGGCUGUAAGCGGCCC
rnacentral:rRNA from 1 species